GGGCCCGUGGUCUAGCUUGGACAGGACGCAGUCCAUAAAAGCCUGAAAUCGGGGGUUCAAUUCCCCCCGGGCCCGCCA
rnacentral:tRNA from 1 species